AUUGAACGCUGGCGGCAGGCCUAACACAUGCAAGUCGAACGAGUGGCGGACGGGUGAGUAAUGUCUGGGACACUGCCUUGUGGGGGGGGAUCACUACUAGACACGGUCGCUAAUCCCGCAUACCAUCAUAUGUCCACAGAUGGGAUUAGCUAGUUGGUGGGGUAACGGCUCACCAAGGCGACGAUCCCUAGCUGGUCUGAGAGGAUGACCAGCCACACUGGAACUGAGACACGGUCCAGACUCCUACGGGAGGCAGCAGUGGGGAAUAUUGCACAAUGGGCGCAAGCCUGAUGCAGCCAUGCCGCGUGUAUGAAGAAGGCCUUCGGGUUGUAAAGCACUUUCAGCGGGGAGGCGUUACCCGCAGAAGAAGCACCGGCUAACUCCGUGCCAGCAGCCGCGGUAAUAC
rnacentral:rRNA from 1 species